CGAAAGUUUCCUUUCGGGAAGCGAGUAGAGUGGCGUCCGGGUGAGUAACACGUAGGUAAUCUACCUUUGGGUGGGGAAUAACAAUCGGAAACGGUUGCUAAUACCGCAUAAUGCAGCGGCACCGCAUGGUGACAGUUGUUAAAGCGGGGGAUCGUAAGACCUCGCGCCUAAAGAGGAGCCUGUGGCGGAUUAGCUAGUUGGCAGGGUAACGGCCUACCAAGGCAACGAUCCGUAGCCGGCCUGAGAGGGCGGUCGGCCACACUGACACUGAAAUACGGGUCAGACUCCUACGGGAGGCAGCAGUCGGGAAUUUUGGGCAAUGGGCGAAAGCCUGACCCAGCAACGCCGCGUGAAGGAUGAAAUCCUUCGGGAUGUAAACUUCGCAAGAAUGGGAAGAAUUAGUAGGGGUUAAUACCCUCUAUGAUGACGGUACCAUUUGUAAGCUCCGGCUAACUCCGUGCCAGCAGCCGCGGUAAUACGGGGGGAGCAAGCGUUGUUCGGAUUUACUGGGCGUAAAGGGCGCGUAGGCGGUCAGCACAAGUCAGUUGUGAAAUCUCCGGGCUUAACUCGGAAAGGUCAACUGAUACUGUGCGACUAGAGUGCGGAAGGGGCAACUGGAAUUCUCGGUGUAGCGGUGAAAUGCGUAGAUAUCGAGAGGAACACCUGUGGC
rnacentral:rRNA from 1 species